rnacentral:tRNA from 1 species
UGCGGAAGUAGUUCAGUGGUAGAACAUCACCUUGCCAAGGUGGGGGUCGCGGGUUCGAAUCCCGUCUUCCGCUCCA